AAGUCCCGUUCGAAUAGGGCGGUACCUUGACGGUACCUAACCAGAAAGCCACGGCUAACUACGUGCCAGCAGCCGCGGUAAUACGUAGGUGGCAAGCGUUGUCCGGAAUUAUUGGGCGUAAAGGGCUCGCAGGCGGUUUCUUAAGUCUGAUGUGAAAGCCCCCGGCUCAACCGGGGAGGGUCAUUGGAAACUGGGGAACUUGAGUGCAGAAGAGGAGAGUGGAAUUCCACGUGUAGCGGUGAAAUGCGUAGAGAUGUGGAGGAACACCAGUGGCGAAGGCGACUCUCUGGUCUGUAACUGACG
rnacentral:rRNA from 1 species